rnacentral:rRNA from 1 species
GAUGAACGCUGGCGGCGUGCCUAAUACAUGCAAGUCGAGCGAACAGACGAGGAGCUUGCUCCUCUGACGUUAGCGGCGGACGGGUGAGUAACACGUGGAUAACCUACCUAUAAGACUGGGAUAACUUCGGGAAACCGGAGCUAAUACCGGAUAAUAUAUUGAACCGCAUGGUUCAAUAGUGAAAGACGGUUUUGCUGUCACUUAUAGAUGGAUCCGCGCCGCAUUAGCUAGUUGGUAAGGUAACGGCUUACCAAGGCAACGAUGCGUAGCCGACCUGAGAGGGUGGUCGGCCACCAUGGAACUGAGACACGGUCCAGACUCCUACGGGAGGCAGCAGUAGGGAAUCUUCCGCAAUGGGCGAAAGCCUGACGGAGCAACGCCGCGUGAGUGAUGAAGGUCUUCGGAUCGGAAAACUCUGUUAUUAGGGAAGAACAAAUGUGUAAGUAACUAUGCACGUCUUGACGGUACCUAAUCAGAAAGCCACGGCUAACUACGUG